rnacentral:lncRNA from 1 species
GGGACUGGGUGGUUAUGCCUAUCUUAUCUGUUUUGGAGUCAGCUAUGGUACCGCAGGCGCUUUCGAAUUUGAAAGGAAGGCACAGGUAAGAUUGGGCUAGGUUGGCUUCGGUUGAGGAUGGUUCGGCAUAGUCCAAUGGAGAUGGAUGUCAAAGGAAGGAAAUAGCUAGGGCUAGUCAUGCUCACAGAAAUAAAUAUUGGUGGUAUCCGAAACUUACCUACCACCGAAGUCAGAGAUUGGCCUGUCCAGAUGUCAGUUGUUGCGAAGACUAGGAUCGGUUGGUGGAGUCUAGGUUUGAGACCAAAA